UUUCCGAUGUCCUUUAUCAUGCACCAUGUGCUAUUUUUUCUCUACUUCCGGUAAGAAGUAAACAUCGCAUUUCGCUGUCAAAUUGUUUGGAACACACUCUGUUCGAAGACUACUGGUUAUUGUCAAGUGAAUCGUGUAUGUGCUGAGGAGAAUUGUGUUAUUUGCGACAUGAAAGACGAACGUAAAAUAGCAACAUUGGGUGAAAAAAUGUGUAGAUAGUUAAUUUCUGCAGCCAGGAAUAAAGGAGAACAAAUGUAUGUUAGACCUGCGAAAAUUGUGUGCUAUGAGUGUAGAAAAAUUACUGCCACUCGAAUCUACUUGGAGAUGCAAACGGUACCUCUAUAACGUAGCGAAACGGACACAUUCAUCUGACUUCUUUUCAUUUCAAAUGCCUGUUCUGUGGUACAGAUGCCAAACAAAAUGACAAAAAGGAAUAUGAUGAUUUCCAAAUUUCAGUCAACAAUAAAGAAAAAUUGGAAGCGAAGUCUUCUGUUGACUCUAAUCCGUACAUGAUCUAACAGCAGUUCAAGUGAUGCAAGAUAUCAUCAAAAAUGUAGCACACCUUUCAGAACAGGAUGUCAAGUUCCGACUCAACAUCAAACACCUCAAAAUACUGUAAAACGUAGUAAAGGUAGACCAACAAAAGAAUCAUCUGAAGAGGCAUUUUUGAAAACCAUGCAUUAUUUUGAAAACACUGAAAGUGAGCAAAUAGCUUAAAUUAUUAAAUGGUCCCAGGCAAGAGUCUUUGUAAAUAAACACUCUUAACAUGAUGACAUUGAAACAGCUGGUAGUAUAUCAUUCAUAAUUAUGUUUGUACAUUAAACACAUUGAGGUACAGAAAAAUCAUUACGAAGGCAACAAGCACAUCGGUAGUAAAGAUACAGAGCCUAACUCCUACAGAGGCAACUGCAAAGUUUCAUAAUUUUAGAGUGCACUGUCAUUAAAAUAGAGACAUGGAUUGGAAAGGAAACGAACCCUCUUGACUUGGGAUGGUACAAACGUGGUGAUAAACUUGUUCCUUAGCACAGAGGUUGCUCUAUGUCUGGCUGUAGAUGUCAUGACAUUAACACUUAACUGACUUUCAUAAUUUUGAGAGAGCAAGGAAAAGUUUUUCGAACAUACUAACUUUAUAAUAGAGCAUAUUUUUACAGUAUAUCGCAUCGCAGAGUUUUGUUCUCACAUUUUCGUACAUUACGGCUAUGUGUACAUUUGCUGUUAGCUGAACAUUGUAGUUUAGUAUCGAUUUUAAAACAGUUCUAACAUUUUACUGUAGUGACCUGUUCUAUAUAUACUAUAGUACAGUCACUGUUGAUCUGGGAUUCUUUUCCUGAAUGUUUCUUAAUAUACUGUUGUUAUUAUAACAUUUAUUACAUUUAGUGCGAGUUUCAAGCAAAUAGUUUAAAGAUAUUGCAUGCACGUUUUAUUGAUGGGUGGACCCGCCCGCUAAGCUCAUUGGGAAGAGCACCGAUCUACGGAUCGCGGGGUCGUGAGUUGGAUCCUCGGGUGGGCCGUAUGUUCUCCAUGACGACUUGAUAAAAGACAUUGUGUCUGAAAUCAUUCAUCCUCCACCUCUGAUUCAUGUGGGGAAGUUUGUAGUUGGUUUGUACAGGUACAGAAUCCAGGAACACUGGUUAGGUUAACUGCCUGCCGAUACAUAACUGAAAUACUGUUUAAAAACGGCGUUAAAUCCAACACAAAUGAAAUUGAUGGGUGGGGUAAAUCUAUAGUGUAAAUUAAUGCAUUUAUUGGUAAAUGUCACAACAAAGCUUAGUAUCAGCUUUAAUUUAUGUGAUAUUUCAUAUAAUCAAUGCCUCUGAUCGAAGAAACAAACCAACGUAUAGGUUUAAACUAAUGUAUGUUACCUAAUGAAUGAACCUCUUGAUUCGUCUGAAUCAUUGAAUUGCAAAGGGGUAGCCCUUCAUAAUCUCAUUUUUUAAGAUUUUCCAAUGGGAAUUUUUUUGAGGACUUUUUUUCUAAAAUGCUCUAAUGUUUAAAGAUUAUAAAACAAUAAAAACAUUUCAUGUUGGAAUUUGUUUAACCCUUUGACAUAAUAUGUGGUAAUAUGACCGGCCUAUAAGUGUUUUAUUUUCCUUUUAUUUAAGUAGGAGUGAUAUUUUGUAAUUGUAUUACCCGUAAGAAUAUUUGACUAGUAUAUAUGCUGUGUUUAUAACUAUAGGUAUACAUAUAUUUGAAGCUCUUUGUUUAUGAAUGUAUGUUUUUUACAGGGCUACUUAUUUGAAUACAUCUCAACCACAGUACA